rnacentral:rRNA from 1 species
UACGUAGGGGGCAAGCGUUGUCCGGAUUUAUUGGGCGUAAAGAGCUCGUAGGCGGCUCAGUAAGUCGGGUGUGAAAACUCCAGGCUCAACCUGGAGACGCCACCCGAUACUGCUGUGGCUAGAGUCCGGUAGGGGAGCAUGGAAUUCCUGGUGUAGCGGUGAAAUGCGCAGAUAUCAGGAGGAACACCAGUGGCGAAAGCGGCUCUCUGGAACGGUACUGACGCUGAGGCGCGAUAGCGUGGGGAUCAAACAGG